rnacentral:tRNA from 1 species
GCUACGGACUUAAAAUCCGUCGACUUAAAAAAGUUGUGAGGGUUCAAGUCCUCUAUCCCCA